CAGCCACAGGCCACUGCUCCAGAAGGAGCCCAGAGACUCCACCAAGGUGAGGAGUGCCUGCUAUGGACUUUGAGGACCAAGGUUCAAAUCCAACCUCUUCCAUGUUGAUAUGGACUGAAGUUAAAAGAAACUGGAAUGCACACCAACCCACAUGAGAUAACAGACAAGCAACGAUAUCACGGCUCACGAGAAUGAAGAGUUCAAGGGUGCUGUGUCUGUAGUUUUCUUUUCUUUAUCAUAGCUUCAGAAGUUUUUCUCAAUACCCUGUGCCCUGAAGAGGAUGGAAUUUCAUUUUCUUUCAGUGGAAACUUGAGAGGUGAUGACGGGAGGUUGUCUAGACUUCACACUUUGAAGUUCAGUCUGGGGUGCUUGACCCAUGGGUCAAACAGAGACAAGAAAGUGAAGUCUUGCAGUUUUUGGCUUCACAGUAGUUUUUAAGCCCUUCUUGAUGUGAGGCUCUGUAACAGUGUGUCCAAGGCAAUGGACAAAGACCGGAAAGUCUAUUCAGAAGGAGGAAUGAGCAUGCCCUCGGAUGUGCUCCGUAAAUAGAGAGGUAAAUGGAAAAUAUCAACAUGAAACUAUAGCCUUUUAAAAAGGGAAGCUUGUUCUGCUCUGAUGUGACACAAUCUACUGUGCCCUCCUGGGGCUCAGAUGUGGGCGUCUCGUGCCAUUUUCUGCUAAAAGGAACCAGGGCUACUUCAAGAAUUAUUGACUCCCACAUUUGGAGGAAGAGAACCGAAGAUGGGCCUGGAACAUCUGUUCUGAGAAAACAAGGAUGCACUCAAAUAUGGGGAGAUGGUGACAGUGGAGUCAGAGUUGAGGGGACAUCACCAAGUAAUGUGGCAAUUUCAACUUCAGAAACAAAAUUAUGACAGGCCCUGGUGAUUACAGCUGAAUCUUUUCCAGGAUGUGGUUGGGGCAGCCAAGCCGAGGAGCUGCUGGACCUACAGAACUGCGAGCCCCACACCAUUUCCCCAUGGAUUCUGAGUGACACGGCGGCCCUGGCCUGAGCCGGCAGGACAGUCGCUGGCUGCCUGUGCUCCUGUGGACCCAGGGCCUGUCUCAAGGCCUGCCUGCUGUCAGUCAAGCAUGCUGGCGGAUGCGGGGCCCUUUCCCUCCACACAGUCCAAUCGUGAUCAAAGGAGGAUGAGGAUGGAGAAAAGUGUCCUUUCGGUUCAUUCAGAGAGCAACCUUCUGUGUGAUGACUCCACUAGUACAUGGGAUGGAAGGGAAGGGGUUCCUCUUAAGCCAUUUGCAGCAUUUCACCCUGUGCCUUUUCUGCAUGAAUCUGGAAUCCCCACACUUGUAGAACAUCCAACAAGCUUCCUUCCGAGUUCCUUAGAUUCGGGUCUAGGAAUUAGAUACUUUUUAUGUAUUAUCGAUGGCAUCUUAUAUGAGUAAACUGCAUCACUCAUGCAGUCUUGCAAUCCGACAGUUUCAGUCUAUUAGGGUUUUGUUGCUGGAGGGGACAGCUGGCUGAUUGAACCCUAGGGCAGAAAAGCACACUGAAAAGGCAGAACAUUUAGCUUUCA